UGGGGAAUAUUGCGCAAUGGACGAAAGUCUGACGCAGCGACGCCGCGUGUGGGAUGAAGCUCUUCGGGGUGUAAACCACUGUUGCCCGGGAAGAACCUCCUGAUUCAUCAGGAUUGACGGUACCGGGUGAGGAAGCACCGGCUAACUCUGUGCCAGCAGCCGCGGUAAUACAGAGGGUGCGAGCGUUGUCCGGAAUCACUGGGCGUAAAGGGCGCGUAGGUGGCUCGGUAAGUGUGCGGUGAAAGCCCGGGGCUCAACCCCGGGUCGGCCGUGCAGACUGCCAGGCUCGAGCAUAGUAGAGGCAGGUGGAAUUCCGGGUGUAGCGGUGGAAUGCGUAGAGAUCCGGAAGAACACCGGUGGCGAAGGCGGCCUGCUGGGCUAUUGCUGACACUGAGGCGCGACAGCGUGGGGAGCAAACAGGAUUAGAUACCCCGGUAGUCC
rnacentral:rRNA from 1 species